rnacentral:rRNA from 1 species
UAGGGAAUCUUCGGCAAUGGACGAAAGUCUGACCGAGCAACGCCGCGUGAGUGAAGAAGGUUUUCGGAUCGUAAAACUCUGUUGUUAGAGAAGAACAAGGACGUUAGUAACUGAACGUCCCCUGACGGUAUCUAACCAGAAAGCCACGGCUAACUACGUGCCCGCAGCCGCGGUAAUACGUAGGUGGCAAGCGUUGUCCGGAUCUAUUGGGCGUAAAGCGAGCGCAGGCGGUUUCUUAAGUCUGAUGUGAAAGCCCCCGGCUCAACCGGGGAGGGUGAUUGGAAACUGGGAGACUUGAGUACAAAAGAGGAGAGUGGAAUUCCAUGUGUAGCGGUGAAAUGCAUAGAUAUAUGGAGGAACACCAGUUGCGAAGGCGGCUCUCUGGUCUGUAACUGACGCUGAGGCUCGAAAGCGUGGGGAGCAAACAGG